GACGAACGCUGGCGGCGUGCUUAACACAUGCAAGUCGAGCGGUAAGGCCUUUCGGGGUACACGAGCGGCGAACGGGUGAGUAACACGUGGGUGAUCUGCCCUGCACUUCGGGAUAAGCCUGGGAAACUGGGCCUAAUACCGGAUAUGACCUCCUAUCGCAUGGUGGGUGGUGGAAAGAUUUAUCGGUGCAGGAUGGGCCCGCGGCCUAUCAGCUUGUUGGUGGGGUAAUGGCCUACCAAGGCGACGACGGGUAGCCGACCUGAGAGGGUGACCGGCCACACUGGGACUGAGACACGGCCCAGACUCCUACGGGAGGCAGCAGUGGGGAAUAUUGCACAAUGGGCGAAAGCCUGAUGCAGCGACGCCGCGUGAGGGAUGACGGCCUUCGGGUUGUAAACCUCUUUCAGCAGGGACGAAGCGCAAGUGACGGUACCUGCAGAAGAAGCACCGGCUAACUACGUG
rnacentral:rRNA from 1 species